rfam:Glycine soja cultivar W05 scaffold521_30, whole genome shotgun sequence.
UUACAUACCUGGAUGGGGUCAAUGGAUGAUCAAGAAGAUCCAUGGCCUAGAGCAGUGACUUUCAUUGCACUUUGGAAGGGUGCUGUUCUAAGGCCUGCCCAAGUGGCAGAGCCUACAUCAUAAUUUGUGAGUGUGGGCCUGCGUUUUGCGCGGCCCUUUC